CUUUGAUAUCUACGAAUCUGAACCAUCAUCGUCGUUGUCGUCUUCCAAACAGUUGCCGGGGAAAGAAUCGCGCCGAUCCUUCAAUUCCCAGUGGAUCUUCUCGGUGAUUAUAUUUCUUCAAUGGUGAUCAUUACGUUUGGUGGUGAAGGGAAUCUCUCUGUAGAAUGGGUGAUUUCUCAAUUCAGAUCAGUUCUAAAUUGAUCAGACAGCUAUCCGAGGCGCACAUAAACCGAAUACGAAACAAAAGAAAACCAUACGCAAAAGCUUCAACCGAAACCCAGUUCAGACAGCAAGAAAACACUCCAUGAUACCGAGAAACCAAAGCCAGAGGCAGAACUGCCAGUUCGUCCACCAUUCCUCCUCCCGGUACCGAAACAACCAUCACAGUCGAAUCCGUUCUAAAAGAGGGCGAGGAGGUUGUAGAGAAGUUGGAGAAACAAGAAAAGAACAUGGCUCAUGAAGAGUAAGAGAGAGAGAGAGACAAUGAUCUAAUAGACAAGGAGUUCAAGAUUCUGUUCUGUCCCCUGAGCCAAUGCCUUGUUCUUCAGAGAAUGAUGCAUUCUUCAAAAUUUUACAAGGAGAAUGUCGACGAUCCUCUGAAAUGUGGCGGAUUGGCUAGGAGUUUUGCAGAUUGUGCACAUCGAGCCAGGGAGCAACCGAGUUCUGUGCCAAAAAAAAAAUACAUGGAAAAAAAAUCUCGAGGGGGAGAAGAAAGAAGGGUGUUUUUGCUGCAAGAUCUGAUUGAUGGUAAGAACAUGUUAUUUCCUUUUACUCUGACAUGAAAAACAGAACAAGCUGAUGAAUCUGUGUGAUCAUACUCAUUCUCAAGCCAUGUAUCAGAUUUGGCUUAAUUAUAUAGGGAGAGACCAAAAAGGACAAGAAGAUCAUAAACCUGUCGGCAUACAAUGUUGUCAA